AGUAGUACUCAGUCUGAAAUAAGGUUGCUGAAUCAGGCCCUCUAAAAGGGAGAAAACCAAGCAUCAGUGAAGCAUUUUUCAGUCUUCUGCCUGUACAGUGAACUUCUUAGAGCCCCCAGACUUCUCUAAUAGUUGAUUUAUAUUUGUAUUUCUUCAUAUAUUUUGGAGCUUUUUGGUAAGACAACAUGGUUGGAGGAAAACUAAGAUUAGCAGUAGCAAUGCAUCAAAAUUAACAGCUUUUCAAAGCAGUAGGGGUCUGUGAGGAACCCUGCAGAAGGUCCCCAGUACUGACUUACAGCAAAUUUAGUCCUGAUUUUGCACUAGCUCUGGUGUCAUCCUACAUUUCUCAAGCACUGGAUUAGUUAGAACCAGUUGUAAUUCAAACCUGUUUUCUUGCUUUAAGGGGAGAUUAUGUUGGCAUCAGACUACGAGAAAAUGGAUUUGAUCCAAGCGGACAAAGGCAGCCCACUUUUCUAGAUAAGACGGUAAUAACCAGACUUCCUAUUUCCUAUCCUAUUCCCUUUAACUGCAGGGCUACUGAUAACUCUGAAGGAUGUAGGAAAAGGUUAUUAACUGUAUUACUCUGACAAUGAUCAGUAAAAGCUAAUUACAGAGAUGAGCUUCUAAAGAGAUUGAGCUUCUGUGGCUUUGGCAUAAUACUUCAUAGAGCAGUCCUACCAGUGUACUCUAAUUAAUGCUAAUUAGAAGUGGGAAAGGAAGACAGGUCCAAGGAGAUAUAGCUUGCUUCACAAGUGCCAUGUCUGUGUUCAGAACAAGUCUCUCUAGAUAUAAAUCUUUAGUCAAUCACCCCUUAAAUAGCAUACUAUAAACUUUUAUGAAUAACUCAAGUCAAAAAUAUUCUGUAUGGCCCAGCCGUUAACAAAAGAGAAUUUCUGCUGGAAUAUGUAGGAUUCCUUUUCAGUGACAGUUCAUUAAGAAACAAUUAAACUGCUGUGGAAUUGUAAUCAGACCGUAAUAGACGUUGCACAUGGAAUUUGGAGUUUCUGGUACACAAGGUCUUGCUUGGCUUUAAUAUUAAUGAUGGACUGCCACCUGGCGUCCAGAAAGGGCUACAGCUACACUCUAGCUCCCGAUAGCAUGCAGCAGAACAGCCGAGGCCAUAACCUUUGUUGAAUUUUCUCACGGCGAGGACUGGAAGUGCCACCAGAUGCCACUUGGGGGCAUUUCACAGCCUAUUUAUUGAGAUGAGGAAUUUUCCCCUCAGCUCCUGGGCGAAGCUGAUGGAUCAGCUCUCCCUCCUUUUUAUGUGAGCAUUACACUAUAUAUUUUUGCUGUCAUGGUCACCAUAGGCCAGAACCCUUCUCUCUAGUAAUUUCUAUUUUUAGAGGUCACCCUUGUAAGUGCGCACCACACACUGCUGAGUAACAUUUUCUUGUAAGUUUUCCAGCUACUCAUGCUGUUUCCCAUGGUGGUUUUUCCCUCCCCUCUUUGAUUUAUAUUCUGGUAUUAUGCGAACAGAGACGAAGAACAGAAAUAGUUUCUGCUCACGUGGCAUUACUGUGCACUUGCCUAAAUCCCACCCCUUGUGGACUUGGGGAUACUUCCUUGAUGGUCAUGAGGUAGCAAAGUUACAAAGUUUUCUCAAGAUGAACAUAAUCCCUUGUUAUCAAGACCUCCAGUUCCUAUUUCAGCCAAAAAUUAAAUGACAUUGUAAGUAUGGGCUCAUUCCUAUGCUGAGAACAAAACUGAAAUUUUUUGCUGAAUUUGUAGACUAAGGGUAGCUCAUUUUCGAAAGCCCUAAUUAGUUUAGGUGGUUAAAUCUACUGUUUUCAUUAACAGCAACUCUUGGAAGACAACUUACGCAUCCUUAAGAGUUCAAAAGCCAAGGAACUGGAAUGCAGCCAUCACAAAAUUCUGUUUGUUCAUCUCAGAUCAUCUUCCCCCACAUUUCCCAUCAAAACCAAGUAAUGGAGAUUCCUAUUAUCCCCCAUCACUUCUGGAGCCUUUACUUAGGUCUCCUCAAAAAAAAAAAAAAAAAAAAUCAAGCACCAGCUUUACUGAGAUACAUAGAUACUUAUGGAGUUUAAGUCACAUCCUAGUGGGAUUUAGGAUCCAGAAGAUUUCUGAUUCAUGUGCAGGGACACCCUAGGCUGAGGAAGACAUGAUGAUAGCUCUAACAACUGCCUGCUGCUUCUCGGAGUUUCUCAUCCCACUGUCCAGACAUUUCAGCAGCUCAGCUGUUCAUGUGGCAGCUGCCACCAGGAUAUUACAGUAGACCACAAUCCCUGUGCUAUUCCAGUACAGACAGGGCUAUAAACUGCAGCAGUUUGUCUACUGUGUGGACAACUGAGAUGCUUGUGCAGCAGGGCUGGGCACUUCAAGAAGCUGGGUGGGCCAAGCAGUCAGACCAGAUGCUACCAGCAGAGCUGUCCUCUUCUGUCCAUCAGGGCUCUGAAGAAGUUGUCUCACUUUCAGCUGACCACACACAGAGUGCACUCGUGUGGCUUGGCACAGAGUUUCUGCAGAAUACUCAUCUGUGAAUUGUCCUUCCAGGACCACUGGAUUCAACCUUUCAAGCCCUCCCUGCAUCCAUUUGCCAUGCUGACUGCCCCCAGAGCUGCAGAGUACACCUGGAGGCACAAGAAGCCUGUUGGAGUUCGGAGGAAGCAACAGGAUAACCAAGAUAAUCAGUAGCACAGGACUAUGCACCUUCAAAAGACAGACAGCAACAAGAACAAGUACUGGAGUCAAAGCAAUGAGAGAUUGAGGUUUACUCCAUCUGUCUGCAACAGCGUUGUGCCCCAGGAGCACAGCCAGCUACAGACCUAUGAGAGGAAUGACUUCAGAGGCAGGAUGCUGGAGUUCAGGAGUGACUGCCCUUCUCUGCAAGAGAACAACUGCAGGGACAUCCUGUCUCAUCACAUCCCUAAAGAAAGGUGUGUUUUUUUUUUUUUUUUAUGAGCAGCCACAGUUCCGGAGACUGCAGCACCUCCUGCAACCUGGCAAGUACAGGCAAUUCAGUGACUGGGGCACCAUGACUGCCAGAGUUGGAUCCUUUCAGCCAACACUGGACAUUUCCUAAUCAGCAGUUCCUUAAGCUACACUCCUCUGAGUAGUGCCAUUAGUGCUAUAUUAAGGCCAAGGAGUUCUAGAGCCUAUAUGGGCUAGGCCCCUAUUUCUUGCAAUGCUUUUAAGCCUUCGACUGAAAGCCCAGCAGUCAGAAACUGUCUGGUGACUGUGGUGGGUUUCAGAACCCGUCCUUACUUUACUGGUAGGAGCAGUUGCCCUGCAGCCAGUGGAGAUGAGCCAAUACUGAGUGAUGCCCAAGCACAGAAGAAAUCUGCAUCUAAAUUGCCAAGCUGAAUUUUUAUCUGCAGUCCCAAAUCAAAAAAAGAAAAAAAGAAGCACCUCUGAAGAAAAGUAUUUUCUCAGACCUUAGUGGAAAAAAAUUAAAUACAUUCUUAAUUUAUGAUCAGGAAGAGAAUACACCAACAAAUCCUACCUGUAACUGAACCCAUGGGAUCAGCACUAUGCUUGAAUUUACUAUAGGGCAUACCUUACAUCUUAAAGGGCCCCAUAAAAGCUAUGCUACUCUCAAAAACAGUUCAAGUACUAAGUUCAUAGCCACUUUCA